rnacentral:rRNA from 1 species
CGGUAAUUCCAGCUCCAAUAGCGUAUACUAAAGUUGUUGCAGUUAAAAAGCUCGUAGUUGGAUUUCUGCGGGGACGGAGCGGCCGGUCGCAACUUGCGACUCGAGCUAGCGCUUUCCCCGCAUCCUGCCGCGAACCGUGCUACCAUUAGCUUGGUGGCGCUGGGGAUCGGCUCGAUUACUUUGAGAAAAAUAGAGUGUUCAAAGCAGGCCACACGCCUUGAAUAAGUUAGCAUGGAAUAAUGACUAAGGACUUCGGUUCUAUUUUGUUGGUGUUCGGGACUGAAGUAAUGAUUGAUAGGGACAGUUGGGGCGGUCUGUAUUCCAAAGCGAGAGGUGAAAUUCUUAGACCUUCGGAAGACAAACAGCUGCGAAAGCGUUCCGCAAGGAUGUUCCCUUUGAUCAAGAACGAAAGUUGGGGGAUCGAAGACGAUCAAAUACCGUCGUAGUCUCAACUAUAAACUAUACCAGCUAGGGAUCGGUCAACGUUUAAUCAUUCGACUUGAUCGGCACCUUAUGAGAAAUCAAAGCAUCUGGGUUCCGGGGGGAGUAUGGUCGCAAGGCUGAAACUUAAAGGAAUUGACGGAAGGGCACCACCAGCCGUGGAGCCUGUGGCUUAAUUUGACUCAACACGGGAAAACUUACCAGGUCCAGACAUAGUAAGGAUUGACAGAUUGAUAGCUCUUUCUUGAUUCUGUGGGUGGUGGUGCAUGGCCGUUCUUAGUUGGUGGAGUGAUUUGUCUGGUUAAUUCCGUUAACGAACGAGACCCCAGCCUGCUAAAUAGCGCGGCUGAGCUUUGCUCGGUGCGAGCUUCUAGAGGGACUAUGAUGCGCGAUAGCACAUGGAAGUUUGGGGCAAUAACAGGUCUGUGAUGCCCUUAGAUGUACUGGGCCGCACACGGGCUACACUGGCGCCUGCAACGAGCAUAUCAGCUGGCCCGAGAGGGUCUUGGCUAAUCUUUUGAACCGGCGCCGUGCUUGGGAUUGACCAUUGCAAUUGUUGGUCAUGCAACGAGGAAUGCCUUGUAAACGCGAGUCAUCAGCUCGCAUUGAAUACGUCCCUGCUCCUUGUACACACCGCCC